AUUGAACGCUGGCGGAAUGCUUUACACAUGCAAGUCGAACGGCAGCACGGACUUCGGUCUGGUGGCGAGUGGCGAACGGGUGAGUAAUGUAUCGGAACGUGCCCAGUCGUGGGGGAUAACGUAGUGAAAAUUACGCUAAUACCGCAUACGAUCUAUGGAUGAAAGCGGGGGAUCGCAAGACCUCGCGCGAUUGGAGCGGCCGAUAGCAGAUUAGGUAGUUGGUGGGGUAAAGGCCCACCAAGCCAACGAUCUGUACCUGGUCUGAGAGGACGACCAGCCACACUGGAACGGAGACAGGGUCCAGACUCCUACGGGAGGCAGCAGUGGGGAAUUUUGGACAAUGGGCGAAAGCCUGAUCCAGCCAUUCCGCGUGCAGGAUGAAGGCCCUCGGGUUGUAAACUGCUUUUGUACAGAACGAAAAGGUUUCUACUAAUACUAGGAGCUCAUGACGGUACUGUAAGAAUAAGCACCGGCUAACUACGUGCCAGCAGCCGCCGCCG
rnacentral:rRNA from 1 species